rnacentral:miRNA from 1 species
CUGUCAUGACCGUCCUGACUGU